rnacentral:rRNA from 1 species
AGUGAACGCUGGCGGUAGGCCUAACACAUGCAAGUCGAACGGCAGCACAGUAAGAGCUUGCUCUUACGGGUGGCGAGUGGCGGACGGGUGAGGAAUACAUCGGAAUCUACUUUUUCGUGGGGGAUCACGUAGGGAAACUUACGCUAAUACCGCAUACGACCUACGGGUGAAAGCAGGGGAUCUUCGGACCUUGCGCGAUUGAAUGAGCCGAUGUCGGAUUAGCUAGUUGGCGGGGUAAAGGCCCACCAAGGCGACGAUCCGUAGCUGGUCUGAGAGGAUGGUAGGCGGCACUGGAGCGGGGACACGGUCCAGAGGCCUAAGAGAGGGAGCAGAGGGGAAUAUUGGACAGUGGGGGCAAGCAUGAUCCAGCCAGACCGCGUGGGUGAAGAAGGCCUUCGGGUUGUAAAGACCUUUUGUUGGGAAAGAAAAGCAGCAGGUUAAUACCCCGCUGUUCUGACGGUACCCAAAGAAUAAGCACCGGCUAACUUCGUG